UACGUAGGCAGCAAGCGUUGUUCGGAAUUACUGGGCGUAAAGAGUGUGUAGGCGGUGCUCUAAGUCUGUCGUGAAAUCUCCCGGCUUAACUGGGAGGGUGCGGCGGAAACUGGAAUGCUAGAGGGUGGGAGAGGAAAGCGGAAUUCCUGGUGUAGCGGUGAAAUGCGUAGAUAUCAGGAGGAACACCUGCGGUGUAGACAGCUUUCUGGACGACAACUGACGCUGAGACGCGAAAGCGUGGGGAGCAAACAGG
rnacentral:rRNA from 1 species